rnacentral:rRNA from 1 species
CAGGUCUUGACAUCCUCUGACAAUCCUAGAGAUAGGACGUCCCCUUCGGGGGCAGAGUGACAGGUGGUGCAUGGUUGUCGUCAGCUCGUGUCGUGAGAUGUUGGGUUAAGUCCCGCAACGAGCGCAACCCUUGAUCUUAGUUGCCAGCAUUCAGUUGGGCACUCUAAGGUGACUGCCGGUGACAAACCGGAGGAAGGUGGGGAUGACGUCAAAUCAUCAUGCCCCUUAUGACCUGGGCUACACACGUGCUACAAUGGACAGAACAAAGGGCAGCGAAACCGCGAGGUUAAGCCAAUCCCACAAAUCUGUUCUCAGUUCGGAUCGCAGUCUGCAACUCGACUGCGUGAAGCUGGAAUCGCUAGUAAUCGCGGAUCGGCAUGCCGCGGUGAAUACGUUCCC